CACUCCUGCGGGAGGCAGCAGUGGGGAAUUUUGGACAAUGGGCGAAAGCCUGAUCCAGCAAUGCCGCGUGUGUGAAGAAGGCCUUCGGGUUGUAAAGCACUUUUGUCCGGAAAGAAAUCCUUGGCUCUAAUACAGUCGGGGGAUGACGGUACCGGAAGAAUAAGCACCGGCUAACUACGUGCCGGCAGCCGCGGUAAUACGUAGGGUGCGAGCGUUAAUCGGAAUUACUGGGCGUAAAGCGUGCGCAGGCGGUUUGCUAAGACCGAUGUGAAAUCCCCGGGCUCAACCUGGGAACUGCAUUGGUGACUGGCAGGCUAGAGUAUGGCAGAGGGGGGUAGAAUUCCACGUGUAGCAGUGAAAUGCGUAGAGAUGUGGAGGAAUACCGAUGGCGAAGGCAGCCCCCUGGGCCAAUACUGACGCUCAUGCACGAAAGCGUGGGGAGCAAACAGGAUUAGAUACCCGUGUAGUCCCA
rnacentral:rRNA from 1 species